CCUACGGGUGGCAGCAGUAGGGAAUUUUCGGCAAUGGGGGGAACCCUGACCGAGCAACGCCGCGUGAACGAAGAAGUUAUUCGUAAUGUAAAGUUCUUUUAACAGGGAAGAAAGAGAAAUUUGACGGUACCUGAAGAAUAAGCUCCGGCUAACUACGUGCCAGCAGCCGCGGUAAUACGUAGGGAGCGAGCGUUAUCCGGAAUUAUUGGGCGUAAAGGGUGCGUAGAUGGCAUAGUAGGUCUUUUGUAAAAAUGCUGUGCUAAACCCAGUAGGGCAAAAGAUACUGCAAAGUUAGAGGAUGACAGAGGGAAGUGGAACUAAAGGUGUAGCGGUAAAAGGCGGAAAUAUCUGUAAGAACACCAGUGGCGAAGGGGGCUUGCUGGGUCGAGACUGACAUGGAGGCACGAAAGCGUGGGGAGCAAACAGGAUUAGAUACCCGUGUAGUC
rnacentral:rRNA from 1 species